CUAUUGGUGAGAAUGUGAUACUGAAGUCUCCCACUGGCAGUGUGUGAGGCACGACCAACCAUCUGCUUGUAAGUGAGGAUAUCUAAAGGCUGACCACUGAAGACGGGAGUGCGAAUAAUCACCCGACGAGCAGGAAGAUUCACUCCAGAAGAGAGAGUAGACGUUGCUGCCAAGACCCGAAUAAAACCUUGACGGAAGGCUCCUUCGAUGAUAUCCCUCUCCUCAAAAGUAAGACCUAAAUAAAAUGCAGGGCCAAAAACAU